AUUGAACGCUGGCGGCAGGCCUAACACAUGCAAGUCGAGCGGAUGAAGGGAGCUUGCUCCUGGAUUCAGCGGCGGACGGGUGAGUAAUGCCUGGGAAUCUGCCUGGUAGUGGGGGAUAACGUCCGGAAACGGGCGCUAAUACCGCAUUCGUCCUGAGGGAGAAAGUGGGGGAUCUUCGGACCUCACGCUAUCAGAUGAGCCUAGGUCGGAUUAGCUAGUUGGUGGGGUAAAGGCCUACCAAGGCGACGAUCCGUAACUGGUCUGAGAGGAUGAUCAGUCACACUGGAACUGAGCCACGGUCCAGACUCCUACGGGAGGAAGCAGGGGGGAAUUUUGAAAAAUGGGCGAAAGCAUGACCCAGCAAUGCCGCGUGUGUGAAGAAGUUUUUCGGUUCGUAAAACUCUUUAAUUUGGGAGGAAGGGAAGUAAGUAAAACCCUGGCUUUUUUGACGUUACCAAAAGAAAAAGCCCCGGCUAACUUCGUG
rnacentral:rRNA from 1 species